rnacentral:rRNA from 1 species
AUUUCUAGAGAUAGAGAGUUACUUCGGUUACAUCGGUGACAGGUGGUGCAUGGUUGUCGUCAGCUCGUGUCGUGAGAUGUUGGGUUAAGUCCCGCAACGAGCGCAACCCCUAUUGUUAGUUGCCAUCAUUCAGUUGGGCACACUAGCGAGACUGCCGGUAAUAAACCGGGGGAAGGUGGGGAUGACGUCAAAUCAUCAUGCCCCUUAUGACCUGGGCUACACACGUGCUACAAUGGUUGGUACAACGAGUUGCGAGUCGGUGACGGCGAGCUAAUCUCUUAAAGCCAAUCUCAGUUCGGAUUGUAGGCUGCAACUCGCCUACAUGAAGUCGGAAUCGCUAGUAAUCGCGGAUCAGCACGCCGCGGUGAAUACGUUCCCGGGCCUU